UCCUGUUCUCGGCUUCUGUCGUGAUCUCUGCUUCUGUCGAUGUUCUUCUCAAUCUCAUCGUCUCGAUCGAUAAAAAAGAAAGAGCAACAUCGGAGAGGGCAUAGAGCGCGGCGGUUCCGUUCUGGAGAGCGGCGGUUCCGUUCUGGAGAGCGGCGGGGAUGACGUACAUAACAUAAUCAAUCGCUAAAAAGUUCACUUCUCCCUCUCCAAAUGGAUUGAUGGAUUUUAGCAAAAAAAAAAAAAUGGAUUGAUGGAAAGCCCCAGAAACCAGGAGCGGAGGUAUGAUGAGGAUUCGAUCGAACAUAACAUACCUGAGUAUCUUGCGUUUGUUCGUUUCACUUGAUGCAGAGAGAAUGUGAUCAGAGAUCAAACGAGGUUAGCUUUUUCAUUGAAGUUCCAAGAAGUGAAAAAGGACAAGCUUUUGCUUAUCUCUUAAAGAAGCUCAACACUGAAUGGAAGCUUCCUCUUAAUCAAAAGCAGGUUUAUAUUGUAUCAGUUUUUUGAUAUGCUUUGAUUUGCUUCCGCAUGUGAGUUCAAAGUUUCUUACAUUGUUCUUAUAUGCUAUGUUCUUGCUCAGAAAAUCAUAUAUGUAAUGUUUCCAUGUUGGCUGCUCAAUCCAGGGAACAAUAUUUCAAGCUGAAGAAUAAGCUACAGCUUCUCACAGUUGGCAUUGGUGGUGUAGGUUUAGUCUGGACAGCCACGUUUACUUGUCCCCCUUUUGUUAGGACUUAGGAUUGUUUGCCUGGUUUGAAUAUGCUUGUUUGAGUUAGGUUGUGGUUAGAAUUUUUUUUGUUUUAAGAAUCCUUGAUUAAGAAACUUCCAUUGGAGGUACAAAUUCCAAUAGUUUCUUAAGUAAAGUUCUGAAGUCUACUAAAGUACAUUUAUAUA